AUGGCGGUACUUCCUGUUCAGAAUAAACGUGAGAAAAAUUCACUCAGAUUAUUUUGAUGACAGGUGUAACGUACGGACUUAAUGGAGGAGAAAAGCCCCACGGGAGCUCUCAAAAAAAAAAGAAUGGAGUGCCCAGCAGGAAAUGAUAAAAGACAGUGUAACACUUCAAAGAAAAACCAGACCCCAGCUCACCCAAAGAUGACAGAUGGUGGCAUGGCGGAGGUGGGAGUAAAGCCACACCAGCAAGUCUCAAGCAAGUCUCAAGUUACUGUGUUUGUGCUCCCAUUAUCCAUCUGACACUCUUCAGUCCAACAUACAAAGACAACAAAAAUCAAUACUCUUGAGGAGUGGUUGGAGGGCGUUUAUCUUUUGCGGCUGAUGAUUUGGCUGUGUGAAUUAUUCAUUGCAGAAAGCUAUGGCCUGAUGCUGGUGAGCACAGAGGAUAGGAAUAACAGCUUUUCCUUAUCACUCUUAAUCUUAGGAGCUGCAGUAAUGCAAUUCUUAACAUUUAGCACUUAAUGGUCUGUCAGAGAGGGAACAUGAUCUAAGACCAUUAGGGCUGUUUUGUGCUGAGGUUCAAAACAGGCUUUUUGCCUCUUAUCUCUGCCACUGAGCUGACUAAGGAAGCAGAAAACCAUGAAAGGUGCGAGGAAAGUCAGGUUUCGGGAUAUGAUCAGCCUAUCAAAUGGCGUUCCUCCGCUUUUUUCCUCUUUUACUUGUAAUCUAUGCAUUCACAUUGCAGUAUUGUGCAAAUACUACUGACCUGUUUCAACUGUGAAAACCUCACUUAUAGGUUUAUUGAAUAAAACAAAGACACGUUUUCUU